AGAGUUUGAUUAUGGCUCAGGAUGAACGCUGGCGGCGCGCCUAACACAUGCAAGUCGAACGGUUAAAGCCCCUUCGGGGGUGUAUAAAGUGGCGAACGGCUGAGUAACACGUGGGCAACCUACCUCUCACUCCGGGAUAGCCUCGAGAAAUCGUGGAUAAUACCGGAUACUCCAGGAUAAUCGCAUGGUUUUCCUGGGAAAGCCCCGACGGUGAGAGAUGGGCCCGCGGCCUGUUAGCUUGUUGGUGAGGUAACGGCCCACCAAGGCUAUUAUGGGUAGCUGGGUUGAGAGACCGACCAGCCAGAUUGGGACUGAGACACGGCCCAGACUCCUACGGGAGGCAGCAGUGGGGAAUCUUGCACAAUGGGCGAAAGCCUGAUGCAGCGACGCCGCGUGCGGGAUGAAGGCCUUCGGGUUGUAAACCGCUUUCAGCAGGGACGAGGCGCAAGUGACGGUACCUGCAGAAGAAGCCCCGGCUAAAUACGUGCCAGCCGCCGC
rnacentral:rRNA from 1 species